rnacentral:rRNA from 1 species
UACGUAGGGGGGCUAGCGUUGUCCGGAAUCAUUGGGCGUAAAGAGCGUGUAGGCGGCCCGGUAAGUCCGCUGUGAAAGUCGGGGGCUCAACCCUCGAAUGCCGGUGGAUACUGUCGGGCUAGAGUGCGGAAGAGGCGAGUGGAAUUCCUGGUGUAGCGGUGAAAUGCGCAGAUAUCAGGAGGAACACCAAUUGCGAAGGCAGCUCGCUGGGACGUUACUGACGCUGAGACGCGAAAGCGUGGGGAGCGAACAGG